AGUGGCAAGGUUAACCAUCUAGGGGAGCCGUAGGGAAACCGAGUCUUAACUGGGCGUUCAGUCUCUGGAUAUAGACCCGAAACCAGGUGAUCUAGCCAUGGGCAGGUUGAAGGUUGAGUAACAUCAACUGGAGGACCGAACCGACUAAUGUUGAAAAAUUAGCGGAUGACUUGUGGCUAGGGGUGAAAGGCCAAUCAAACCUGGAGAUAGCUGGUUCUCCCCGAAAGCUAUUUAGGUAGCGCC
rnacentral:rRNA from 1 species